UAAAGAAAUGUCGGAGGAAACAUUAAAUAAUUCACCUAAGGACAGAGAUAAUACAGAGGAAUUACAUUUUACGCGACAGAUAGCGUUUCUCACUGAGGAGCUGGCCAAGGUUAAAGGUUACCAGAGUCAGCUGGGGAUUCAUGAACAUCAUCAGUGAUGUUUCUCCACAGCGGGCUCAUCAGUACCUGGUGACAGAAGGUCAAUCCAGCUCUGACUUGAGGCUGUUCAAGAAUCAGCUCCACUUGAUCUGGUUCCACCUCUACCACAGGCAGAGAAACACAGGGUGAGAUCUUCUCCUGCCAGUCAUCACGCUAUAACUGUUUCUAGAAUCGAUUCAAUUCAGAUUCACGAGGUCCCGAAUCGAUCGAUU
ensembl:lncRNA